CUUGUACUCCCUCCAUCCGAAAAUACUUGUCAUUGAAAUGGAUGUAUCUGGAUGUAUUUUAGUUCUAGACACAUCCAUUUUGAUGACAAGUAAUUCCGGACGGAGGGAGUAGUUG
rfam:Triticum aestivum genome assembly, contig: Triticum_aestivum_CS42_TGACv1_scaffold_003293_1AL